GAUGAACGCUGGCGGCGUGCCUAAUACAUGCAAGUAGAACGCUGAAGGAAGGAGCUUGCUCUUUCCGGAUGAGUUGCGAACGGGUGAGUAACGCGUAGGUAACCUGCCUGGUAGCGGGGGAUAACUAUUGGAAACGAUAGCUAAUACCGCAUAACAGUAGAUGUUGCAUGAUAUCUCUUAAAAGGUGCAAUUGCACCACUACCAGAUGGACCUGCGUUGUAUUAGCUAGUUGGUGAGGUAACGGCUCACCAAGGCGACGAUACAUAGCCGACCUGAGAGGGUGAUCGGCCACACUGGGACUGAGACACGGCCCAGACUCCUACGGGAGGCAGCAGUAGGGAAUCUUCGGCAAUGGACGGAAGUCUGACCGAGCAACGCCGCGUGAGUGAAGAAGGUUUUCGGAUCGUAAAGCUCUGUUGUAAGAGAAGAACGAGUGUGAGAGUGGAAAGUUCACACUGUGACGGUAUCUUACCAGAAAGGGACGGCUAACUACGUG
rnacentral:rRNA from 1 species